UACAGAGGGGGCAAGCGUUGUUCGGAAUUACUGGGCGUAAAGGGCGCGUAGGCGGCCGCCUAAGUCAGACGUGAAAUCCCUCGGCUCAACCGGGGAACUGCGUCUGAUACUGGGUGGCUUGAAUCCGGGAGAGGGAUGCGGAAUUCCAGGUGUAGCGGUGAAAUGCGUAGAUAUCUGGGGGAACACCGGUGGCGAAGGCGGCAUCCUGGACCGGCAUUGACGCUGAGGCGCGAAAGCCAGGGGAGCAAACGGG
rnacentral:rRNA from 1 species